rnacentral:misc_RNA from 1 species
GACUUAGGAUGAAUGACUCAUUCGCUUGUAGA